rnacentral:rRNA from 1 species
UACGUAGGGUGCAAGCGUUAAUCGGAAUUACUGGGCGUAAAGCGUGCGCAGGCGGUUAUGUAAGACAGGUGUGAAAUCCCCGGGCUUAACCUGGGAACUGCAUUUGUGACUGGCGGGCUAGAGUAUGGCAGAGGGGGGUAGAAUUCCACGUGUAGCAGUGAAAUGCGUAGAGAUGUGGAGGAAUACCGAUGGCGAAGGCAGCCCCCUGGGCCAAUACUGACGCUCAUGCACGAGAGCGUGGGGAGCAAACAGG